UGGGGAANUUUCCGCAAUGGGCGAAAGCCUGACGGAGCAAUACCGCGUGAGGGAGGAAUGCCUUUGGGUUGUAAACCUCUUUUCUCAGGGAAGAAGAUCUGACGGUACCUGAGGAAUAAGUAUCGGCUAACUCCGUGCCAGCAGCCGCGGUAAUACGGAGGAUGCAAGCGUUAUCCGGAAUCAUUGGGCGUAAAGCGUCCGCAGGUGGUUUCCAAAGUCUGCUGUUAAAGACUGGAGCUCAACUCCGGAACGGCGGUGGAAACUUGGAAACUAGAGUUCGGUAGGGGUAGCAGGAAUUCCCAGUGUAGCGGUGAAAUGCGUAGAUAUUGGGAAGAACAUCGGUGGCGAAGGCGUGCUACUGGACCGUAACUGACACUCAGGGACGAAAGCUAGGGGAGCGAAAGGGAUUAGAUGCCCCUGUAGUCCUAGCUGUAAACGAUGGAAACUAGGUGUGGCUUGA
rnacentral:rRNA from 1 species